CUAUGGCCAUACCACCCUAAACAUGCCAAUCUCGUCUGAUCUUGGAAGCUAAGCAGGGUCGGGCCUGGUUAGUACUUGGAUGGGAGAUUAAAUGGAUGAAGGACUUACAUAGU
rnacentral:rRNA from 1 species